rnacentral:rRNA from 1 species
CCUACGGGUGGCAGCAGUGGGGAAUAUUGGGCAAUGGAGGCAACUCUGACCCAGCAACGCCGCGUGAAUGAUGAAGGUCUUGGGAUUGUAAAGUCUUUUUCUAAGGGAAGAAGAAAGUGACGGUACCUUAGGGAUAAGCCUCGGCUAACUAAGUGCCAGCAGCCGCGGUAAUACGUAGGAGGCAAGAGUUAUCCGGAAUGACUGGGUGUAAAGGGUGCGUAGGUGGUUUGACAAGUUAGUAGCUCAACUCCGGAGCUUAACCUCGGAACUACUACUAAAACUGUUGGACUUGAGUGCAGGAGAGGCAAGCGGAAUUCCUAGUGUAGCGGUGGAAUGCAUAGAUAUUAGGCAGAACACCAGUGGCGAAGGCGGAUUGCUAGACUGUAACUGACGCUGAGGCACGAAAGCGUGGGGAGCAAACAGGAUUAGAUACCCGAGUAGUC